ensembl:ncRNA asRNA:CR45891 antisense RNA:CR45891
GAAUCAUCAUCCGCGAGCUCUUCGGUUUAUCGGUCCCGGUCCGCCAGUUCAUCCAGAUAAUGGCUGGACUUGCUCUCUGGUGGACACCAUGUUCUCCAUUCAGAUUGCACUGUGUGCAGCGAUCAAACCACCAGCCACCACCGUAAUCCUCGCCACAGGUGGAAUCUGCCGAUUUCGCGUGGUUCCUUCGCCGAUCGUAAGUGCUGAAAUCCAUCCGAUUGUGCUGCUCCAGAGCGUCCGGUAGUGAACCACGGAAUUCACCAGCCACCGAAAGCUGAUAGUUAUAACUCUCGCUGUCUAGCCAGAAGAGUGGAUACUCCGCCCAAUCCAGCGGUUCCCCUGCCUCCUGCAGCUCAAUUCUCAGCUCAUGAUCGUCGCGGUAGAGAAUCUUGUGCGCGAACUCGUUGCCAAACCAGAAGUCUCGGGAUAAGUUACCAAAACCCGCGCGAUACUCGUCCCAGCUGCGAUUGAAAUUUUCGUGCGGAUCGAAGGAGCCGCCUCUACUCUGGAUCACUGUCCAGGCGGGGCCGUCGGUGGCGAAGGCGCAAUAACGCUCGUACAAAUCACGCUGGACUUCAUUGCGCUCCGGAACCAGAAACCUAUAGACGCCAUCCACCCGGACACCUUCGUCAAGCUCAUGGC